CACCUACGGGAGGCAGCAGUGCUGAAUCAUUCACAAUGGGCGAAAGCCUGAUGAUGCGACGCCGCGUGGAGGAUGAAGGCCUUCGGGUUGUAAACUCCUGUCAGGGAUUAGGAAUAAUGACCAAUCCCAGAGGAAGCACCGGCUAAAUUCGUGCCAGCAGCCGCGGUAAUACGAAUGGUGCAAGCGUUGUUCGGAAUCACUGGGCAUAAAGGGUGCGUAGGCGGUUUGGUAAGUCAUUUGUGAAAGCCCUCGGCUCAACCGGGGAAUUGCAGGUGAUACUGCCAGGCUUGAGGGUGCGAGGGGUGAGCGGAAUUCCAGGUGUAGCGGUGAAAUGCGUAGAUAUCUGGGAGAACGCCAGAGGCGAAGGCGGCUCACUGGCGCACAACUGACGCUGAGGCACGAAGGCGUGGGGAGCAAACAGGAUUAGAUACCCUGGUAGUCCACGCAGUAAACGAUGGGUACUUGAUAGGAGGUGGUGUCGAACCGCUUCCUGUCGGAGCAAAUGCGUUAAGUACCCCGCCUGGGGAGUAUGGUCGCAAGGCUAAAACUCAAAGGAAUUGACGGGGGCUCACACAAGCGGUGGAG
rnacentral:rRNA from 1 species